GGGGGUGUUCCGGAUUCGACUGGGAGUGGAAAUCCAGGAAGCAAGCCGUGGGUAAUACUCUUGGCCACGUUAAAAGGAGUAUUAAAAAUCUUAACUGCAAACAACGCAGAAUAUUCUCCAGCUACAGCAGCUCUAGCUGCUUAGUUAGGAGCGCUUUCAAAUCAGUACGCCUUAGGCUGACUUGUUAGUGUCAUAUAACUCAGGCUGGUGAUGCGGUUCUUCCGACAGCAUUACGAGAUUCAGGAAGUGUUCUUGUGUGAAGCGGUUUCCUGCUGACACCUCAGGCGAAAACGAAAAGUGGAAACUAAGCUUGUAGAAACCGAAAUGGAAACUAAUCAGGACGCGGGUUCGACUCCCGCCACCUCCACCA
rnacentral:tmRNA from 1 species